CCUCACAUAAUGUGUGACU
rnacentral:rRNA from 1 species